rnacentral:lncRNA from 1 species
CCCAUCAAUAGCAUCCAGUGACUGGUAAAUAAAAAGUCCCAGUGCACAUAAAAGGUAUGUCCAGUAUGGUGCCUCUUCGGUGGCCGUGGGACAGUAGGAGAUGAGCACGAGCGUGGUGACCACGUUGACGGCGAGCCCCAGCAGGGUGAUGGAGUUGGGGGCCAUCCAGAGCGGGAUCCACUGGAGCAGCCAGGUCCAGUAGAG